UACGAAGGGGGCUAGCGUUGCACGGAAUCACUGGGCGUAAAGCGCACGUAGGCGGCUUUUUAAGUCAGGGGUGAAAUCCUGGAGCUCAACUCCAGAACUGCCUUUGAUACUGAGAAGCUUGAGUCCGGGAGAGGUGAGUGGAACUGCGAGUGUAGAGGUGAAAUUCGUAGAUAUUCGCAAGAACACCAGUGGCGAAGGCGGCUCACUGGCCCGGUACUGACGCUGAGGUGCGAAAGCGUGGGGAGCAAACAGG
rnacentral:rRNA from 1 species